rnacentral:rRNA from 1 species
AACCAUUGUGAACUUACCCUUUAUCGUUGCUUCGGCGGGCGGCGCCGGGGGAGCAUCGCUCUCCUAGGUGCUGACGCCUGCGUGCGGGCGCCCGCCGGAGGUAUAAAACCCUGACAUUUUGUAUGGCCUCUCUGAGUAUUCUGUACUGAAUAAGUUAAAACUUUCAACAACGGAUCUCUUGGUUCUGGCAUCGAUGAAGAACGCAGCGAAAUGCGAUAAGUAAUGUGAAUUGCAGAAUUCAGUGAAUCAUCGAAUCUUUGAACGCACAUUGCGCCCGCUAGUUAUUCUGGCGGGCAUGCCUGUCCGAGCGUCAUUUCAACCAUCAAGCCCCCCGGGCUUGCAUUGGGGAACUGCGAGCUCUCCGCCCGCAGGCCCUGAAAACUAGUGGCGGGCUCGCUGACACACCGAGCGUAGUAGCAUAAUUCUCGCUUAGGGCGUGCUGCGGGUUCCGGCCGUAAAAUUGACCCCUCGAGAGAGGAGACAACCCAAAGGUUGACCUCGGAUCAGGUAGGAAUACCCGCUGAACUUAAGCAUAUCAAUAAGCGGAGGAAA